GCGACACUAGCUCAGUUGGUAGAGCGCAACCUUGCCAAGGUUGAGGUCAGGAGUUCGAACCUCGUGUGUCGCUCCA
rnacentral:tRNA from 1 species